rnacentral:rRNA from 1 species
GACGAACGCUGGCGGCGUGCCUAACACAUGCAAGUGGAGCGACGGACCAGGCUUCGGCCUGGGGCCAAGCCGCGAACGGGUGAGUAACACGUGGGCAACCUGCCCCGACGACCGGGACAACCCGAGGAAACUCGGGCUAAUACCGAAUGUGCUCGCCUCGCGCAAGCGAGGCGCGUAAAGGAGCUUCGGCCUCCGCAUCGGGAUGGGCCCGCGGCCCAUUAGCUUGUCGGUGAGGUAACGGCNCACCGAGGCUGCGAUGGGUAGCUGGUCUGAGAGGACGAUCAGCCACACUGGGACUGAGACACGGCCCAGACUCCUACGGGAGGCAGCAGUGGGGAAUCUUGCGCAAUGCGCGAAGGCGUGACGCAGCAACGCCGCGUGGGGGAAGACGGCU